AGAGUUUGAUCCUGGCUCAGGAUAAACGCUGGCGGCGUGCCUAACACAUGCAAGUCGAACGUCCUCUCUUCGCAAGGAGAGAGGGAGUGGCGGACGGGUGAGUAGCACAUGGGAACCUACCUCUAGGUGAGGGAUACCGGCGAGAAAUCGCCGACAAGCCCGCAUAGCUUCGCCUCGCAAGAGGAGAAGAAAGCUCGACCUCGUAAGAGGGAGGGCGCCUGGGGAUGGGCCUGUGGCCGAUUAGCUGGCUGGUGGGGUAACGGCCUACCAGGGCGACGAUCGGUAGCUGGUCUGAGAGGACGAUCAGCCACACUGGGAUUGAGAACGGCCCAGACUCCUACGGGGGGCAGCAGUGAGGAAUUUUCGGCAAUGGGGGCAACCCUGACCGAGCAACGCCGCGUGCAGGAGGACGCUUUUCGGAGUGUAAACUGCUUUUCUGGGGGACGAGGACAAGGACGGUACCCCAGGAAGAAGCCCCGGCUAACUACGUGCCAGCAGCCGCGGUAAUACGUAGGGGGCGAGCGUUGUCCGGAGUUACUGGGCGUAAAGCGCCCGCAGGCGGGAGGCUGCGUUGGGGGUGACAGUCGGCGGCUUAACCGCCGAAGGACUCUCAAAACGAGUUUUCUUGAGGGCCUCAGAGGGACAUGGAAGUCCGGGUGGAGCGGUGAAAUGCGUAGAGAUCCGGAGGAACACCAAAGGCGAAGGCAGUGUCCUGGGAGGCGCCUGACGCUGAGGGGCGAAAGCCAUGGGAGCGAACGGGAUUAGAUACCCCGGUAGUCC
rnacentral:rRNA from 1 species